GGUUUGGUAGUGUCAGGACUCGACCGAGAUGACGCGGACGAUGGCAGUCUUUAUUUGUUUUUUAUUAACUCAGAGUUAGUAAUUCUUCUCGUACCUUUUCUGAUGAAAUCUGCAACAUGAAUAACCGACUCACACUGAGGUGAAAUAAACUCCAAAACUUUUCCUUAAAAGAAGACUCCACUUUUUUUCUCCUUUACAUUGGUCGUAUUAGAAACAGAAGCUUGGCUGAACAAUCCUGGCAAAAUUAGGUGUCAAAGUUUUUCGGGACCCGCAUUACGGACCGUCUCUCAAAGUUCGAGUCAACCGUUUCUCAAUUUCAAAUCAUUUCUAAAUGCUUACAACACCGAACCACCAUUAAAACCGUGCAUUGGUGCAAUAUAUAUACCAGAGCCAUUUGAAGUAACCGAGAAAUCAUCAGUAAUUCUACACAAACAAUAUGGAGGACACGCCGACACCGAUGAUGACGAAGAAGACAUCGAGCAUAACUUUUAUUAUAAUCCAGUAGGAUCAUCUGAAGAAUAUUCAUCGAAGGAAUGUGAAGUAAAUUAUAAAGAAAUUACUUUUAGAGAAGAUAUUUAUGAAGAGGAAGAUAAUUCUGACGAGGAUGAAGAUGAUACAGUAAAAGACGAAGAUGAUAAUAACGAAGAAAUAACACAAAAUUAUUCAAUCCCAGAUGAUUGUGAUCAUCUUAUCGUAACUUUACUGUUAUAGCGCAUUCAUAUUAUCAAAGACCUCUGGACAUAAAUUACUUUCAGCGAUAAACAAUUCAUUAUUA